AUGUGGGAGCUUUUGAAUGGACAAAGUCUUCAGCGAGGAAGAGAAGACAGCUGCAUUUCCUUACUUGCAAUUCUAGUAACUAUCUUUGUUAUAGCUUGUAGAGUGUACCCGCAAAAAAAACUUGUAGAGUGUGAUGGAUUAAUUAGGAUGCUAUGUAAUCAGAGUACGUACCUUAUCAUAUGUAUCAUGAUUGAUUGCUAUCAAGGUCUGCAUUCUAUGAAGAAGGCUCCCAUUUAUAUGUUUAUUAGUGACAUUGCUCCAUUGUGUUGUGCUUACUCUACUACUUCUGUACAUUAUUUGUGGAAUUGGUCUUGUUGUUCACUGUUGCUGAAAAUCUGUUUCAGUUAG
rnacentral:rRNA from 1 species